AUUGAACGCUGGCGGCAGGCCUAACACAUGCAAGUCGAGCGGGGGUAGCAAUACCCUAGCGGCGAACGGGUGAGGAAUGCUUGGGAAUCUGCCUGGUAGUGGGGGAUAACGUUCCGAAAGGAACGCUAAUACCGCAUACGUCCUACGGGAGAAAGGGGGGGAGCUUCGGACCUCUCGCUAUCAGAUGAGCCCAAGCGGGAUUAGCUAGUUGGUGAGGUAAAGGCUCACCAAGGCGACGAUCCCUAGCUGGUCUGAGAGGAUGAUCAGCCACACUGGAACUGAGACACGGUCCAGACUCCUACGGGAGGCAGCAGUGGGGAAUAUUGGACAAUGGGCGAAAGCCUGAUCCAGCCAUGCCGCGUGUGUGAAGAAGGCCUUCGGGUUGUAAAGCACUUUAAGCGAGGAGGAAGGUUCGUCACCUAAUACGUGACGGAAUUGACGUUACUCGCAGAAUAAGCACCGGCUAACUCUGUGCCAGCAGCCGCCGUAACAC
rnacentral:rRNA from 1 species